GGAAAUUGCUGUGCGUGGCUGGUGGAGGGAGGACUGACGGAUAGGUUAGCAGUUAGCAUGCUGCCGUGCACCCUUUGUGUGUCUGCACGGCUGAAGAAAUGACCUUACAGGACUGUCUACGAAUGCAAGGCUGCUUAUUCACAACUCACUAGUUAGUGCGCAGUGGACUGUAAGAUCCGUCAUAUCGAACAACGUCCCAAUAUUCCUGCAAGUGACAUAUUUGUUAAUUAGUGGAUAUUACUUACGUCCGGUAGAAUGAAUACAACAACUGUUCAGAAAGAAAUUGUUUCCAUCCCUAAAUGUUAGUUGUGCUAUCGCAAUGACAUCAUAGGCGCAUUACUUUCUUGUCAUUUUAGAUUCAUGGAAUUUGAAGUAUGGCUUUUGAGUGUUACAGCGCGAGGGGCAUUUGUUUUUCUUUUGGACAGAGAUGUUACUGUUGAAGUUAUUAAGUUAGCAUUUACUCUGGCGCUCUGGUUUUGUCGCCCCAGUGGUGUGGCGCCACAGCUCGCCUCCUGUGGUGCGGCGUGUUUGCCCGCGUGCCCGUGGCUGUCGCUCAGCGGAAUGGCCUCGGACAGGUGACGCGGGUGAGUAAUCCAUUAGCCUGACGCCGGACUCUUCUGCUCGGCUCGGCUCGGCGGGAGUGGGCUUUUGCCGAGACCUUGAUGGGCCCCCGGAGUCGAAGGCCUGUCAAAGCCAGGAGCCGGAGUGAUGGAGAGGCCUCACCAUGGUGCUGCGGAUCCCUGCCUCUCACCCGUGCACGCCCUGCCACUGAGCCUGCAUGUCCUGGGGCCUUCAGUCACCGCAACUCGAUCCAGAUCUGGGCUCAUGAAUACUACUCAACACGAGCAGCACAAACAAGUCCACAGGCCUUCCCUUCUCUCCCCUCUACCUACACCCUCACCUGCCAGCUUUUCCCAUCUGACCUGCCCGGUGGCACUCAGUCAUACUGGCGGAUAUGGACCGUGAAGGGAUCCCUGCCGGCCACCAAAUCAGUUUGGACUGUGAAAUCCCCCCCAUCACUGUGUCAGGCUUAUGGGUUCUGAUCUGCUUGGGAAAUCCUGAUAAAGUGACAAAUGGCUUUUAACUGAAAGGGUCGGCUGACAAUUACCUGGAAUGAGCUCCUGCUGCAGCACCACGGCUCUGGAAGCGCGCGGCCUGUCAUUACCCCCCCCCACCCCACCCCACCCCCGUAUGAGCUCAUUUUUAAAAAGACAGCACCUACGACUUCACAGACGAGCUUUCUCAGCGGAGAUCCCCCCUCUCUCUGUCCCUCCCCUUCUCUCUCUCUCUUUCUCUCUCUCUCUUCCCUCUCUCUCUCUGCUUUCCCUGCACCUCAGCCUAUCUCUGAGCCAUGGGGACCGCGAGGACGUCAAAAAGCCGCCCAGGAAUCACUGGCGUCCAGCCCUCCAUCGCGGCCCCCCCUCGCAUCCCCCUACCACCACCACGGCAGGUUUUGUUCUCUGAACUUUGAAGCAGAACAGGGAUAAGAAUCAACUCUCCCGUCCAACAAGACACAAAACAACAGAAGACGCGGAGGAAGAAAAAAAGAAAGCCUCCAAUCCGAUUAAAACAAUCUCCUUGUCUUUUGAUUAACAUGCAUUUGCAUAAGAAUGGCGCGGGGCGAUGGAGCAGUGGUAGGUGAGUCUGCUGCUCUGUGUGGGGUUGUGGCCCCACGGCCUCUCUCACACAGACCCCAUACUGGCACCUCCAAGCAGUAGUGAAGGCUGUGUGUGUCUGCGUGUGUGUGUGUGUGUGUGUGUGUCUGUGUGUGUGUGUGUGUAUGUGUGU